GACGAACGCUGGCGGCGUGCUUAACACAUGCAAGUCGAGCGGAAAGGCCCUUCGGGGUACUCGAGCGGCGAACGGGUGAGUAACACGUGAGCAACCUGCCCUUGGCUUUGGGAUAACCCUCGGAAACGGGGGCUAAUACCGGAUAUGCAUCGAUCAUCGCAUGGUGGUUGGUGGAAAGUUUUUCGGCCAGGGAUGGGCUCGCGGCCUAUCAGCUUGUUGGUGGGGUGAUGGCCUACCAAGGCGACGACGGGUAGCCGGCCUGAGAGGGCGACCGGCCACACUGGGACUGAGACACGGCCCAGACUCCUACGGGAGGCAGCAGUGGGGAAUAUUGCACAAUGGGCGAAAGCCUGAUGCAGCGACGCCGCGUGAGGGAAGACGGCCUUCGGGUUGUAAACCUCUUUCAGCAGGGACGAAGGGUGACUGACGGUACCUGCAGAAGAAGCGCCGGCCAACUACGUGCCAGCCGCCGCCGUAAUAC
rnacentral:rRNA from 1 species